AUACGAAGGGGGCAAGCGUUACUCGGAAUUACUGGGCGUAAAGCGUGCGUAGGUGGUUGUUUAAGUCUGUCGUGAAAGCCCUGGGCUCAACCUGGGAAUGGCGAUGGAAACUGGGCGCCUAGAGUGAGGCUGAGGGUAGUGGAAUUCAUGGUGUAGCAGUAAAAUGCGUAGAGAUGAGGUAGAACAUCCGUGGCGAAGGCGUCUGCCUGGGUCAAGACUGACACUGAGGCACGAAAGCGUGGGGAGCAAACAGGAUUAGAUACCCUGGUAGUCCACGCCCUAAACGAUGCGAACUGGAUGUUGGGUUCAAUUUGGCACGAAGUAUCGAAGCUAACGCGUUAAGUUCUCCGCCUGGGGAGUUCGGUCGCAAGACUGAAACUCAAAUGAAUUGACGGG
rnacentral:rRNA from 1 species